rnacentral:lncRNA from 1 species
GCAUUAACCCUUCUGCUAUUUAUACCCUAAACAAACAUUACGGAGUGGGGGGGAGAGACUGGAAAAAGAUCAGAGUGAUCUGCCGAAAUUCACAAAGGGAUAGACCCCUCCCCCUACAAAAUCUCAUCUCCCUAAGGACCUAAUUACUCUAAGACCUAUACUACAAAAUGAAUCCACCGUUUCCACGCUUUUUCAGAGAAAAGAGACGCUAGACAUUAGACUCCAAAAGUCAGAAGAGAUCCUGGCCAGAAGCUCAGUGGAAACACCAUGAACACGACGAGAAUCCAUGAAGACCAUCGACCUCCACACACACAUACACGCGAAAGAACACGGAGAUACAAUUGCUUCAGUCAUGUUGAUUUUCAGAUUUAUAAUGAAGUCUGUAUGAAUUUCAGAGCUUCAUUCCUUUAUGAUUUUAAUAGAAACUGACUCAAGUCCGGUCAUGGAGUUUUGUUGAGCUUUACUGCUACUUUGUCAGAUUUUUGCCUCGCUCGAAGUAUUUUUAUAGAAUUCAUUAAAAUCUGAAAUUUUUCUUUUUUUGAAUUUUAGGAAUUAAUUGUAUGAUUUUUUGUGUUUAUUUGUGUUUUUGUGCAUUUUUAAUAUAAUUCAUAUAAAUACAAAACAGAAUAGCAUGUUUGCAUUUAGAACUUAAUUUUUACAUUUUUUAGGUUUAUUAGUUAAUUAAUAUUGAAAAUACGAAAAAAAUAACAAAAAUAGUUCUUUCGCAUUUAUUCUUUUAAUUUGUCUUACUUUUCUUUAUAUUAGGAGUUAGUUAAAUUGGAAAUUAAUUAGUGUAAUUUUAGAAUGAAUUUGGAUCUUUAUUUUUAAUUUUGCAUAUAUAAUAAAAAAUCAACCAAAAAAAAGAAAAAGAAGAGGAAGAAAAAAACAAAUAAAAGAAAAGAAUUAAGUGAAGAGGAAAUAGACAAACAUGUGUAAAUAUGGGCCACUUGCAAUUAAAUCCAACCCAAAACUCCUGAACCCAUCCAAAUCGGUCCAAACCUGUCCCCUAAUCUGGUCUCUCAUCAUAGACACCCCAAAACGACGUCGUUUUGGGGCACAUAAUCUCAGUCGUCCAAUUCCCAUCAUCUAACUGUCAAUAUUUGGCCUCAAUUUUGAAUAAAAAUAUCUGAAACUAUUCAUAACCGUAGAGACAAAGUCCACCCUCCUCGUACAAAUUACUCACCGGUGUAACACCACCGACAUACCACCGCUCCUCCGCCGUCCGGAAACCGCCUCCACAGGCGGCCGGUCUCCAAUCGACCCCAAAUUAACAUUGUUUGCUCCCCGUCUCCUCCUCGUUCUGACCCCCCAAAAACCAACCCUCAAAUCCCGGCCAAAGUUCUCGAAUCUUCGUCCAAAGGAGUGACUACUCCGCCGACCAUGGCGGUGCCGACUCCAAUAGCCACCAAAAACACACCCUAGCCUCCCAUUUGCCUCCUCUACCCAAAAUCGAACCCCAUUUCAAAUGAACAACCCUGAAAAUGCUCGAAUUUUAGAUCUGAGAACUGAUUAUUUUUCUUAGAGGACUGUCAAAUCUCGAUUUGAAUUCUCAAAUGAAUAUAUAUGUUUGUUCUUACCAAGAACAAAUAUAUAACUCUAUUUGGGGAUUCGAUUUGAAUCCAGUCGAGUUGUGAAGACCCAAAAUCAGUAAGUUUUACAUUGUUAUUCAAUUAUGCUUUAUUUUUCUGAUGAUUCUAUUUUCAUGAUUUGAUUUUAAGUUUCUGACCAUGUUUAGUUUCUGGGCCUUAAAUUAUUCAUUUUUCUUUUAAUUAGCCUAAUUAAAUUUUAUUUUUUAUUCUAUGCUUAUAAUGUUUUACUUCCUGACCGAUUAUAUUUUCAUUUUUUCUUUGAAUGAUUUUGUUUUACAUUAUUGGUUGAUUCUUCUUAGUUUAAUUAGAAAUUUAUGCUUAUGUUUAGUUCCUAAACCUUUGAUUAUUCAUUUUUUUAGUCUGCUUGAUUUUGAUUUUUGUUUAUAGAGUAAUUUGAAGGAAUGUCGACCUAAUCUGGAUUCAUGGCCCAAUAUUAUUAGGACUUUCAGUUUGCUCAGUAUUAAAAAAAAACAUUUAAUACUAGAGUUUUCAAAAUAGCUUUGGUUAUAGUUAAAUCUCUAGGUUUCAUUAAUAGUAAUUCCUUAUUUCUAAUGUUAGGUGAUCUUAGUUUGUCUGGAUAUAGAUGUUUAGUUUUGUUUAGUUUAAGCUAAAAAUUAUUAAUCAGUUUUUGAAAGUUGAUAUGGCAAAAAGGGUAAUUUAAGUAGUUUAAAAGGCUAGUAUAGGUCUUGGAAAAUAGGAAUCUCACUUGGAACUGAUUUGGAAACCCCUAAAACAUUCUAAAUGGGAUUCCAAUUAGAGUUUUGAGAUAACAAUGAUAUAACUUGGCCAACAAGUUAAGAACUCAUGGACUAAGUGAAUAAAAUCUUAAAAUAAAAGAGGGACUAAGAGGUAAACACAAAAGAAAAGGGGUUGCCCUAAGUUGUGGCUAUAAAUAGGCAAGUUAGUGUCUUCAUUCACAAGUUUUUGAACAGUCUAAAUCCACAAAAAAUGGCCAGGUUUUUAACAAUCUGAAAAUCCAUAAAAAAUUUCCAAGUUCAGCAGUCUGAAAUCCCUUAGAAAAUUUCCAAAAGUUUUUGAAGUAUACAAAUCCUAGAAAAUUCUUAACAUUUCCAGAGACUCUAAAAUCCCCAUCAGUUAAAAUACUCAAAAGUUAAUAUUUAGAAUCCAAUCCUUGCAAUUCAAAUGCAAAACAAAAUCAGAAAUGCUAUCUAAUUUGAGUACCUGAGAGUUUUCCUUCAAAAUUAAAUCAUUUAGAGCUUCAAAACCAAUAAAAAUUUAAAAAAAGUAUUGUUCCAUUGAAAGUCAUUUUAAUUUCAAACUCUAGGUUUUGGAUUUACAUUAUUUAGCUGGGUUUGAUUACUGAGAUGUUUUGGAGUUUUUCUUGGUUGGGUUUCAAGUGCUUCUAAGAUCAUUCAAAGGUGCUUGUUUGGGUUAUCCCGGGUGAAUUUGAACGGGUCUCCAUGUGUGUUGGUUUAAAUUGAAUCUGGGGUUUGAUAUUGCUUUUCCCUGAGCUCGUGAACCAUUGAUUUGUUGCUUGUGUUGUUGAAAUGCUACUGACCCUUCCUUUCUCUUUUGUUUCAUCAUGAUACCAGGUGCACAUCUUCAAAUUCACCUCCAUGUACCUUUGAUUUGGGACUGAAAUGCAGCAUCAUAAGCUGAAUCCUUGUUGUUUUGUUUAAUUUGGAUCCUUAUGUAAUAAUAAUCAAUUGUGUAUUGGGUGAUGAGGUUCAAGG